GAUAAGUUUCUGUCGCUUCUAACUUUUUUUCUGAGUGAUUGAUAGAUUUAGGAAUUAAUAGGGUAUUACAGUAUGUACGGUAAACUAUGCAAAAUUCAAAUGAGACGCGAUGACGUCACAAAUAUGCUAAUGAGCGAAUGCCGUCAUCUAGCGACUUUCCGAGCAGGCAUUAGCUACUUUCCAUUGAAACUAGUUUGAAACACUGCGCACCAUUAGACACACCACUGAUCAGCCAGACUGUAUUUACAAGCAUGUCUGUGCCAUCGCGCUACAGCCUGUCACCUUUGUAAAGUUAAAAUAAUAACUUGACACGCCAAUCUCAACACCAAAGACCACUGACAGAAUGGAAACCUACCUCGGAGAUAUCAUACUUGAAUGUCUAUUGAGGCCUCUGCGAAGAGUCUGGAGAAUCCUGAGCUGCUGCUGUUUUUCUGGCAACUCUGAAAAACUUUCAGUAGAGGAAACAUCUCCAAUAUACCAUGUCCCAAGCUCCGUCCGUCCAUUUUUGGAGAAUUAUGGAGAUGUUAAUGGAGUUUAGUUCAUCUGAUUAGUUUAGCCUAAAUGCAGAAUUGUGGGACUUUGUUUUCAGUUUGUAAAAGAAGCACUUUUGAGAAGAUGGAUCCACUUCUCUUUCACUCAAAAUUAUCGUCGAUCCAGUCCCCAUAUGUCCGUCCCUGAGCCAGACUCACAACAGAAGUGGGUUUCAAGAGGACAAGCACUGUUAGCGAGUUCUGCGGUGGAACGUCUUCUCAACUGCCUUCAAGACAGCAACCCAGUAGUGUGCCCCCAACUCUGGGACAGGUUGCACCAGCUAUGCUUAUGUUACAACUUAGACUAGUUACAGCAUGAAUGGGCACAAAGUUACAAUUUACACACUUCUAAAUGUUUAAGCGUUGCACCCUUAUGCUUAGCCUAAGUAUAACCUAUAUAUAAACUAAAUAUUUACCGAAGACACCAACUACGAAUAACAGUUCGAAUAAAAAAGCAAACUGAUUGAAUGACAUGUUUUGCAUGACAUACACUCACUGAGCACUUUAUUAGGAACACUAUUGUCCUAAUAAAUUGCCCGACAUGGUCUUCUGCUGUUGUAGCCCAUCCGCCUCAAGGUCCAACUUGUUGUGCAUUCUGAGAUGCUAUUCUGCUCACUACAGUUGUACAGAACGGUUAUCUGAGUUACUGUAGACUUUGUCAGUUCGAACCAGGUGCCAUUCUCUGUUGACCUCUCUCAUCAACAAGGCGUUUCUGACCGCAGAACUGCCGCUCACUGGAUGUUUUUUGUUUUUGGCACCAUUCUGAGACUGUUGCAUGUGAAAAUCCCAGGAGAUCAGCAGCUACAGAAAUACUCAAACCAGCCCAUCUGGCACCAACAAUCAUGCCACGGUCAAAAUUAACUGAAGCUCCUGACCCGUAUCUGCAUGAUUUUAUGUACUGCACUGCUGCCACACUAUUGGCUGAUUAGAUAAUCGCAUAAGUACACUAGGUGUACAAGUGCUCCUAAUAAAGUGCCCAGUGAGUGUAUGGUCGUUCCAAUCGACCGAUAGUACCAUGCAAAGUAGAUUUCACAUGUUAUUUAGCCAUCUUAAGUGAGAUUCUGAUCCGAAAGGGAGCACAGGGCACUCCAAACGGCAUAGGGAAUAAGGGUACGUCGAUACAAAACUUCACAGGAAGUGAAGCCAUCCGAGUACUGACAGACGUUUGCUAAAAUAAAGCCAAAGUAAUUUGAAGCGUUUGUAUUCAGCAUAAUUUACCUCAGGUGUGCACUUUCCGUUGCUGUCACUGGAAUGCCAAGUUUCAAAAGAAACAAAAUAUGUAUAGGAUAGUAAAAGGAACAAAUGUCAAUUAGUGUUAAUAUUUAUUCGUUGCCCUUAUUUAUACACUUCCUAAAUAUUUGUGUUAUUAUUUACAUAAAUAUUUAGAUUAAAGGCUACUAUUUUUUAUAUUUAACCUAGAGAUUUUUUGUGUAUUGUAUUUAAAUUAAACUGUAAAUUGUUGCCGUCAACCUUGGCAAGAUAACCCAUGGCCUUUCAACACUUCUGUUUACAAAUUUGAAGGCUGCUUAUUGGAUCAGUAAAGGUAAACGUCAUAUUAUGCGAUUAUACAUUGCUUUAUGGAGAGCUUACGCUAAGUAUUGCAUUAAGAACAGGUGGUGCAACCAAAUAAAGCACUGAAUUGGUUACAAACUAACUAGUAGUCACUAAGCCCACGGUUUGAACUUCACGCCCCAACUUAAACGAGACCUUCCGCACAGCUGGUGUAGCCCUACCCUGGAGGCUGCUCCCCUGGAUGCACAAGUAGUGCCUGUCUUCCCUUUGUGCCACAGCUGUCCCUCCCAGAGGUGGAUACAGCACACUCCUUAAAUGAACACAACUCUUGUAAUCUGGGCCCAACAUACAAUUUAGAUUUAAGUUGGGUCAGCAUGAUCACAAGAGAUGCUGGCAUGUUGUUUGUGAAAGUUCUGAAUGCAGACUCACCGACAAGCAGCAUCUCCGAUCAGACAUUUUUGCAUCAGCUCCAGGGUAUUUACCUUCCCUUGUGGUGUGACUGGAAGCGUGUUGUAUCAGCAGCGUUGGAGACCAUCACAUCAUUCAUCACAGUGGAAAUUGGAGAUCAAGUAAAGCACAUUGCAUUCGGGGAUACUGUACCCAGCACAGUAUAUGCACUGUUUUCUAGAAAUCUUGACAAACGUAGUAGGUCAUCUCAGUACUAUGCACAGUAUAGGUACUAUAUACUGCAGAAAUGGUAGUUUAUUAGCCAAAAUGUCUUUGAUACAUUUCAGUUUUGUUUUAGAGCUAGCCACAGCACCCUCAGGAUAAAUAAUGAUUUAUUGCAGGCAAUAAAUUAUUGCUAGUUAUUGGAUCUUGAGGCUGCAUUUUUUUAUACUGCUGGUUGCCUUAACUGUCUUAGGCAGAGAGGCCUGGCAUUCAGGGCAUGGUGCUUUACUUCCUACCUGAAUGAUACAAGUGUUCCUGUAGCUCAACUGGUAGUGCAUGGUGCUAGCAACGCCAAGAUCAUGGGUUUGAUUCCCAUGAAUCACACAAACUGGUACACUGUAUGCCUUGAAUGCACUAUUAAGUCGCUCUGGAUAAAAUGUCAUGUAUCACAUUUUAUUAUUUUUUGGUACCAAUAAUAUAAUUUCUUAUAUUUUUUAUUGUAUUUGAAUUGUUAUACUGAUGAUACACAGCUGUACUGUCUACUAAACAUCAUUGACAUCCUUUUUGAUUGACCGACCACUGUCCGUUCUACCUAAACUGUCAACAUGUUCAAAACUCGCCUUAAGACCUUCUAACUUUUGCAAUAUAUUUAUCCAUGUUUAGUGUUGCUUAUCUUGUGUUUUUUUUCCUUUUGUUGGAUAUUAAAGUUGUUGAAGCUAUUGAUCAUUUAAUACAAAUUUCCUGUAUUUCUUUUAUUUUAUUUUUUUACUUUUCAUAAAAGCUAAACUAACUUCUUUUCUUAGAGCACUUAACCCUACACUCUUAAGAAAAAAUGUUGUACUCUAAUCUCUAUCUUGACUCAAACUUUUCUAAUACAAUAGAAAAUUUGUAUUGCAGCACUUUUAUGUUACUGUUUCCUUAAAAUGAAUCAUUGAUUCGCUUUGGAUGAAAGCGUUGGCUAAAUGAAUAAAUGUACAUUUUCUCCAAAGUAAUCUCUCAGGACUCAAGGAAAAUUGUGGAAACCAUAAUACAAUUUACCUUUGUCGAUAGAUGGAUGUAUUAUAUUGAUCGUUCAACGGAAAUUCCAAAUGUCCUACUUUCACAAUAAAGAUUCAGUGAGUUAUGGAAGUGUAUCACUUUCCAAAAACA